rnacentral:rRNA from 1 species
AGUGAACGCUGGCGGUAGGCCUAACACAUGCAAGUCGAACGGCAGCACAGUAAGAGCUUGCUCUUACGGGUGGCGAGAGGCGGACGGGUGAGGAAUACAUCGGAAUCUACUUUUUCGUGGGGGAUAACGUAGGGAAACUUACGCUAAUACCGCAUACGACCUACGGGUGAAAGCAGGGGAUCUUCGGACCUUGCGCGAUUGAAUGAGCCGAUGUCGGAUUAGCUAGUUGGCGGGGUAAAGGCCCACCAAGGCGACGAUCCGUAGCUGGUCUGAGAGGUUGAUCAGCCACACUGGAACUGAGACACGGUCCAGACUCCUACGGGAGGCAGCAGUGGGGAAUAUUGGACCAUGGGCGCAAGCCUGAUCCAGCCAUACCGCGUGGGUGAAGAAGGCCUUCGGGUUGUAAAGCCCUUUUGUUGGGAAAGAAAAGCAGCAGGUUAAUACCCCGCUGUUCUGACGGUACCCAAAGAAUAAGCACCGGCUAACUUCGUG